GCUGCAUCUUAAGACAAUCAUUGUCGCAGUAAUUUAGCGUGCACCUGCAUCACCUGGAGGGCUUCUUGAAACCCAGAGCCCUGGGGCCAACCCCCAGGGUUUCUGAUUUAAUGCAUCUGGGGUGGGGCAUGAGCAUUAGGCUACAAGGUUCCAGGAGAUGCUGAUGCUGUUGGUUCCCCGGACUUUGAAAAUCACUGUUUUCAGAUCUUCAUCGUCCUCAAUGCCUUGGAUAAUGGAAAGAAAUGGAAGGCUUCUGGAGGUCCAUCGGCCUAAUGUAGACACAUGGCCCCAAAUCAACCACAAGAAGGCUGAAGACUAGAGGAGUCCGUGGAAUAUUUGUCAGGUGGAUCGCUUUGAAUCUCACCCAGUCUGCUCCCUAAAUGAGUCUGGUGAUCUCGGCCAGGAGAGGACCUCUCCCGCUUCUCACAGAAUUAUGUAAGAAUCCUGUUGACAGAA